rnacentral:rRNA from 1 species
AUUGAACGCUGGCGGCAUGCCUUACUCAUGCAAGUCGAACGGUAACAGGUUAAGCUGACGAGUGGCGAACGGGUGAGUAAUAUAUCGGAACGUGCCCAGUCGUGGGGGAUAACGUAGCGAAAGCUACGCUAAUACCGCAUACGAUCUACGGAUGAAAGCGGGGGAUCGCAAGACCUCGCGCGAUUGGAGCGGCCGAUAUCAGAUUAGGUUGUUGGUGAGGUAAAAGCUCACCAAGCCUGCGAUCUGUAGCUGGUCUGAGAGGACGACCAGCCACACUGGAACUGAGACACGGUCCAGACUCCUACGGGGGGCAGCAGUGGGGAAUUUUGGACAAUGGACGCAAGUCUGAUCCAGCAAUGCCGCGUGCAGGACGAAGGCCUUCGGGUUGUAAACUGCUUUUGUACGGAACGAAACGGUGAGCUCUAAUACAGUUUGCUAAUGACGGUACCGUAAGAAUAAGCACCGGCUAACUACGUGCCAGCAGCCGCGGUAA